GACGUAGGGGGCCAGCGUUGUUCGGAAUUACUGGGUGUAAAGGGUUCGUAGGCGGUGUGGCAAGUCGGGAGUGAAAUCUCUGGGCUCAACCCAGAGUCUGCUUCCGAAACUGCUGUGCUUGAGUGUGGGAGAGGCGCGUGGAAUUGCAGGUGUAGCGGUGAAAUGCGUAGAUAUCUGGAGGAACACCGGUGGCGAAGGCGACAUCCUGGACCAACACUGACGCUGAGGAGCGAAAGCCAGGGGAGCAAACGGG
rnacentral:rRNA from 1 species